rnacentral:rRNA from 1 species
UAGUCCACGCUGUAAACGAUGAUCACUCGUUGUUGGCAAUACAUCGUCAGCGACUGAGCGAAAGCAUUAAGUGAUCCACCUGGGGAGUACGAUCGCAAGAUUGAAACUCAAAGGAAUUGACGGGGGCCCGCACAAGCGGAGGAACAUGUGGUUUAAUUCGAUGAUACGCGAGGAACCUUACCUGGGCUUAAAUGCAAAACGACGUACCGGGAAACUGGUACUCCCUUCGGGGCGAAUUGCAAGGUGCUGCAUGGCUGUCGUCAGCUCGUGCCGUGAGGUGUCGGGUUAAGUCCCAUAACGAGCGCAACCCCUAUCGUUAGUUGCCAGCGGAUAAUGCCGGGGACUCUAACGAAACUGCCAGUGUAAACUGUGAGGAAGGUGGGGAUGACGUCAAGUCAGCACGGCCCUUAUGUCAGGGCUACACACGUGUUACAAUGGUCAGUACAAAGGGCAGCUACCAGGCGACUGGAUGCUAAUCUCUAAAGCUGAUCUCAGUUCGGAUC